rnacentral:rRNA from 1 species
AUUGAACGCUGGCGGCAGGCCUAACACAUGCAAGUCGAGCGAGCGGCGGACGGGUGAGUAAUGUCUGGGAAACUGCCUGAUGGAGGGGGCUAACUACUGGAAACGGUAGCUAAUACCGCAUACCAUCGGAGGUGCCCAGAUGGUAUUAGCUAGUAGGUGGGGUAACGGCUCACAUAGGCGACGAUCCCUAGCUGGUCUGAGAGGAUGACCAGCAACACGGGAACGGAGACACGGUCCAGACGCCUACGGCAGGCAGCAGUGGGGAAUAUUGCACAAUGGGCGCAAGCCUGAUGCAGCCAUGCCGCGUGUAUGAAGAAGGCCUUCGGGUUGUAAAGUACUUUCAGCGGGGAGGCGUUACCCGCAGAAGAAGCACCGGCUAACUCCGUGCCAGCAGCCGCGGUAAUUC